rnacentral:misc_RNA from 1 species
GAACAAUUUUUUGUCUUCUCCCAAAGACUGAAAUGAAAGCGGAAAAUUGCAGACAAAACAAUGCAGCUGUGCAUCUGAAAAUAUCUUGCAUCUUGCAAAAAAUAGUAAGAUUAUCAGAACUGAUCUACAUACAAGGAUCCUAAAGUAAUUCCAUUAGUAAUCCUAAUUUCUUUUCUUAUAUUUGCUUUGAUCAUUAGAGAUUACUGAU